CGAGUGCUGCCACGGGGACACGCACAGAUCCCUGGAGCAAGCGUCGGGGGAGUAGCUUCUCCAAGCUGAUGGGAGAUUCCUGGAUUGAGUCCUGAAAGAUGACCUGGAAGAGGUAACCAUUUCUGCAUUUAAAACCCAUGCUUCAGGGCAAGAAACCCUCAUCCUUCCUGGGGGGACGGAGAACGUCCAUCAGACGUCAGAUGGGCCUCCGUGCUCGCUGGCCAGCUGUAUCCACCAUGCCUUCUUUCUUCCAGAGAGGCAACAGAACAGCCAAACACGAUUUGCUCAGGAAAUCUCUGGACAUUCAGGAAGGUUGACGGGGCAGCCCACCCAGCAAGAGCAUCGGUGGCCACACUACAAACCAGGUGGGGGCCCUACCUUCCCCUCCCACUCUCCCCACAGGCUCAUCCUGGGACUAUCAUCAAUCCACCCUCUGCUGUUCCAUCUGACUCCAGGAUAUCCUGGGUGCUGGUACCCUAAUAAAAAAUACUAACCUUGAUCUACUGCAAGCAGCUGGAGAACUCUCACAAGGCAGUUGUGACAAUAUUGAAAAUAACUGCCAAUCACAACUACAGGCCUUAAAGAAGUUCCUGAAGCCAAAAUGUAAAUCAGUCUUCUGUCCUUUCAUUACUUGUUUCUUCCCGAAUUGCUAUGUGUAAAUCAAGGUUUUUCAGCUGUCCAGGCACUCAGUAUUUAGAUGGAUUCUGGCACAAGGUCAAAUGUCACACACAACAGUGAGACCUGGAAGAGUCUGCAAGACGUUUUUCCUCAGGUAAGGUGCAGAGGUAUGUUGUCUAAGGUAAUGAUGUGCCUCACUCACCUGAAUGUUUAUUCACACAUGAUUGGGUAUUGCCAACCUAAGAUACCAGGCACCAGAUUUCUAUUUUAAUAUUAUCAAGAGCAGCAAAAAGAUACAAUGAACUCACAGGGAACAGGAAUGGUAGAGUAUGCUGAACUCUCCUGAAACACCUCAUUUCUCUUGAAUUUCUCCCUAGACUGGGGCUGGAAGGGCACAGCCUGGAGCAGACCCUGGGCUUUGCAUCCUGUUCUACCGUGCAGCAGCCACGUGGCCUUGUGCAUCUACUUUGUGCCUCACUUUCUCCAUCUGUAAAAUGGGGAUGAUGGCAGGACCCACCUCACGGGGUUGUGACGGGGAACAAGUGAGGACACAAAGCUCGGGGCCUGCGGCAGGAGAAUCUGCAUUCCUGGUGCCUGGCACAUCGUGGCAGUUCAAUAAAUGCUCAGUGACUGAGAGGACAGACGCGAGACAUCGGUGGAGGGCCACACUGAAUGUGAGAACUCCAGCUGACGGCAGUUUGACUGACUUCCAGGGAAAUUCCUUCUUUAUUGCAAGCACAGCCCCAAAGGCACUGGACAGCUUCCUCGCCGCCGUCUCACCCGGUAGUUCCAGUAUUGCUAUCAGCAAACGCGUUUGCUCCCUGCAGGGUCCGGGAGCCACGUAAGAGCACAGGGCACAGAACAAGGGUUGCUGGGACCGGGGAGCCUUCGCACCUGCUGCCUGGCAUGCAGAGCGCCCCGAGCUCGGGACACCACCCUCGGAGUGUACUGUGGCUCACUGCCUUGCUAAGCGCGGCUUCGGUGUGUUCCCGCUGCGCCCGAUGUCUUUUUAACGAGGGGUUCUGUUGGCAUGAACAAUUUGAACAGGCUAGCGCUGUCGCCAAUUGAAAAGGAAUAAAGUGAACAAGCUCAUCCCUGUCCCCUCCCCUUCUCUAAAACUGGCUGGGAUGGGGGGUGGCUGGAGCAGGGGCGUGAGGGCCUGGAUGGCAACGGGAAACCAACCAACUGACCGACCCAAACAGAAAGAUAGACUAGGCAGAGGGGGCCGACCAGGGCGACCCACUGGCAGGGCAGAGCCUCUGCGCAGAGCCAGGUGGGUGCGCUGCUGGGCCGGCCUGACUGCUGGGCUCUGGGGAGGUGAGUGGCACCGAAGCCUGGAGCUGGUGGGCUGCAGGGCCGCGGGCACCGACGUCACUGCAGGGCUCUGACGAGGUAGAGCUUCUCCCCAUGCUCGCUGGUGAAGAUGGGCGCCUUUUUGUAGUGUUCCACCAGCUCGUCCAUGGUGUGGAAUCGUCGCUGCCCAAUGCAGUAGACAUUGUCCACGAGCUGCACCUUGAAAUGUUUGUUCUUCCCUGACGCUUUCAGAGACACGGAGAAGUCACUGGGCUGCAGAGGAAACAGAACACGAGUGACAACCGGGCACGGCAGGAGAGGUCUGUCCCUGCGUGACUACCAACUAUUUUGGGUGCAACCAUCUGAAUCUUCCACUUAACUAAAUCCACACCACCCUUCGCUCAGACGUCUGGGCUUCUGUUGACCAGCUACUAGGGCAUCUGAUGUUCAGAAUGACCCGGAUGCAGCCCAAGACUCUGAAGUUCUGCAUUGGAGACAAGUCUGAGUUGGCUUAGCUCAGUGUCAGCACUAAAUGCAUUUUAGUUAUUUGAGCAGUGGACACUCAUUGUGGAAUGUACAACACCUGUGCUAACCUGGGUGCUCAAGAAGCUUGAAUUUUUUCAUUUCCCAAACUAUUUUUGGAGGAAUAAAGUCCAUCCUGGGAAUUUAAUAAGACAGGAAGUCAUUUUCCAAAUGGAAUCUGAGGACAAUUAACAGGUUGGUAGAAAAUCAGCCUCUCUCAGGGCCUCUGUCAUUGUUUUUGUUUAGGUCUUAGGUCCCCUAUUUGAAUAUAACCCCUCUAAGUGCAAGAACAAGGUUUAACUCCACAGUGCCAUACUGGGCACAGAGUUCCAUGUGUUCAAUGAAUAUGCUCACUUACGAAUCCCUGAUUUUAACCACUGCUUCCACUGCUCAUUGCUCUAGGUAAUUCUUACAUCUCAUCGCCUUGCAAUUCUGCUCAUAACAAGUGGGUACUUUUAGGGAACACCAGAAAAUAACGCUCUUUGGUACUAUUUCUUCAGCUUCAUCAACUUGAUCCGUUGCCUCAAAUACUUGCUCAAAAGCACCUUUGUGUUUUCACGAAACAGAUGCCCUGAUCAGAUCCGUCUCUCCUUUGCUUGAGAUGUAAUCAUCAUUUCUUCAUAGAGGGAAAGAAUGGAUGCCGAGAACAGUCUUUAAUAUCCUUUAUUUCUUCCUCCAUCUCUGGAAUGCUUAAGUGUUAAUGUGAUUUUCUGAUUUUCUUCUAAGCACAAUGGCCAUGAGGAAAUGAGAGGGGAGGGAUGGUCCUUGCUCCAGGUACUCCUGGUUCUUUAAUAACCUUUUCCUUAUCUUUCACUUUGACUCUAUGAAAAGACCAGAGUAGAAAUGCUCUUUGUUGCGACCCACCAGGCCUCCUGUGCAGACUCUGGACACAUCUCUGGUCACACUGGCGUCUGCAAGCAUCCACAGUCUGCAGAGAUAUUUAACACUUCCUCCAUACCCAAAGAGGGGUCAUCGUACUGGCUUCUUAUCAAAAGCUGUAUCAUUCUUUCCUUUUGGUAAAUGGGUAUUUUUCUCUUUUUAUUUUUUUACCGAAGGCACUCUUCUGCCUAGGGAAUGGAUUCAUUUACCAAAAAAAUUUCAGAAUCAAUGGAUUAGAGGCGAAUUGUGUUCCGUCGAUUAAUAGUUUCUCUGUUGUUAUCUCAGAAAAACCACCUUUCAGUUUUACCUAUUAGGUCACCCUCCCUAGGUGUCUA